UACGUAGGUGGCAAGCGUUGUCCGGAUUUAUUGGGCGUAAAGCGAGUGCAGGCGGCUCGAUAAGUCUGAUGUGAAAGCCUUCGGCUCAACCGGAGAAUUGCAUCAGAAACUGUCGAGCUUGAGUACAGAAGAGGAGAGUGGAACUCCAUGUGUAGCGGUGAAAUGCGUAGAUAUAUGGAGGAACACCGGUGGCGAAGGCGGCUCUCUGGUCUGUUACUGACGCUGAGGCUCGAAAGCAUGGGUAGCGAACAGGAUUAGAUACCCUGGUAGUC
rnacentral:rRNA from 1 species